AGAGUGGAAUGCAGCCAAGAAUGACUUGCCGGCUGCAUAGAGCAACAGAUGGGUUUAUCUGAAAUGAAUUGCCUGUGGUUGGCAGGUUGUUCUUGGCUACAUUUUACUGUCU
rnacentral:pre_miRNA from 1 species